CAUCCUUGUUCUUCCCUCCCUCAGCAAGCAGAGGACAUUGAUGCAGAGUUGCUGACUUUUCCCAACCAGCUUCCUCACAUUGGGAAGGCAUCGAGAAUCUGUAAAGACGAGGUCAUUGCAGACUUUGACUUGGAGGUCAGUAAGAUUGAAGAUGUGAAACUGUUCAGCAGCAAAGAGCCCAGCCUCUUAAAGCAGAUGGGUACAUUUCUUUUGAGGGCUGAAGCCAAGCUUGCAGACUUGGAGAUAUCUCUGCAGGAGCUGAAUGCACUAAGCAAAGCGGUUGCAGAGUUUUUUUGUGAAGAUCCAGCCGCCUUUAAGCUGGAGGAUUGCUGCUCCAUCUUUAACUCAUUCUGCAGGAGGUUUGAUACAGCCGUGCAGGUAAAGAAAAAGAGAAAUGGAACUCAAAGUACAGACAGUAUAAUGGGGCCUUAACACUGGACAUGAUUCACGCAGCAGAGACAUCAAGUUUCAAUGUAGAUUCAAUGUAGAGACGCGAGCUGAGGUCUCGCGGUACUAUUUGGGCACCGAACGGCGACUCUGGACACGUGACAUAUUCAGUUACGUGAUUGAAAAAUACAUCCAUUAUGGCCACUCAAUAAGAGUAUUUUUG